CCUACGGGAGGCAGCAGUGGGGAAUAUUGCACAAUGGGGGAAACCCUGAUGCAGCGACGCCGCGUGAAGGAAGAAGUAUCUCGGUAUGUAAAGCUCUAUCAGCAGGGAAGAUAAUGACGGUACCUGACUAAGAAGCACCGGCUAAAUACGUGCCAGCAGCCGCGGUAAUACGUAGGGGGCAAGCGUUAUCCGGAUUUACUGGGUGUAAAGGGAGCGUAGACGGACUGGCAAGUCUGAUGUGAAAGGCGGGGGCUCAACCCCUGGACUGCAUUGGAAACUGUUAGUCUUGAGUGCCGGAGAGGUAAGCGGAAUUCCUAGUGUAGCGGUGAAAUGCGUAGAUAUUAGGAGGAACACCAGUGGCGAAGGCGGCUUACUGGACGGUAACUGACGUUGAGGCUCGAAAGCGUGGGGAGCAAACAGGAUU
rnacentral:rRNA from 1 species